rnacentral:rRNA from 1 species
UGGGGAAUCUUGCGCAAUGGGCGAAAGCCUGACGCAGCAACGCCGCGUGCGGGAAGAAGGCUCUCGGGUUGUAAACCGCUUUCAGAAGGAACGAAACUGACAGUACUUUCAGAAGAAGGUGCGGCCAACUACGUGCCAGCAGCCGCGGUGACACGUAGGCACCAAGCGUUGUCCGGAUUUAUUGGGCGUAAAGAGCUCGUGGGCGGUUCAGUAAGUCGGGUGUGAAAACUUUGGGCUUAACCCAAAGCGU